AGGCUAAACUUGCAAAGUUACGGAGGGAACUCAUUGCACCUGCAUCAAAAGGAGGUGGUGGUGCUGGUGAAGGUUUCGAUGUCACCAAAAGUGGCGAUGCAAGAGUUGGUUUGGUUGCUUCAUAUGAAUUCACUACUCUAACUUGCAUACCGGGUGUAAUUGGGUAUAGAGGAGCUAAAAUUCAGUUACUUGAUCUCCCUGGUAUUAUUGAGGGUGCU